ACAACACGAGCUAAUCCAAUCCAAUCCCCAAUUCCUUCCCCUGCUCGUCUCCCAACCAACGGAGCCCAACUCCAGCGCCGAUUUCCUCUGCCCCAGCCACUCGGCCUCGCCGGCGCGGCGGCCUCCUCUCCCCCAUCCAUGCCGCUGACCUCCCUCUCCUUCUCUCCCAUGGCGCCGAAACCCUAGCCACGGCGACCUAGCAGCAGCAGGCAGGACGAGCCCGGCUAUGGCCAUGGCCUCCUCUUCCCCUCUGCCCUGCCACGGCCGCCGCUCCAGCCCCUCCUCUCCUCUCCUCUCCUCUCCUCUCCUCUUCACUUCUCUCCCAAGGGAGGGGAGGGGAGGGGAGGGAAGGGAAGCCAAGGCCCCAGAUCAAGCGGAGCGGCGCCCAAAUCCGCCCACAGCGGCACCGGCGAUCUGAUCCGCGACCCUCCUCGAGGUCGGCCAUGGAGCGCGGCAGCAGCCAUGGACGGUGACGCCCGAAACCCUAGCUAGCCCUCAACCUCCAAGGACGCGCGCCGGCUGCUCUCGGCGGGGAGCACCUCGACGCCGGCCAAAGGCCAUCACCAUCCCCAUCACCAGCAUCCCGCGUGCGUGAGUCAAGGAGGAAAGAGGAGGAGGCCAUCGCCAUGCUCAGAUCCAUAGCUCCUCUUUUCUCUUCAAUUUUUUCAAACUUGAAUGUGAUGAACAGGGUCAUGAUACUAGUGCUUGAGUCAUGAUACGCACACCCCAAACCUCAUCAUCUUCAUGCUUGCAACUUGUAGGUAAAAACACAUUUUAUUCAAACUAAUUCAGAAUGGUCAUCGGGGGAGAUCCACGGUUGAUCAAUCACAUGGAAUGGAACUAGUACACACUGGAGAGAAUAUAUACAUCAUGUCCUUGUACAAAUUACUCGAAUAGUAAAAAUUGAACUACAGAAUAUAUAUGAACUGAAAUCAACACUUGUGGUAGCAGCAGGUCUCAAGGCGCAGCUCAUCUUUUUGCUAGAAAAAGUCAAGCGUGUGAUAUGUUACUACCUCUGUACACUAAUGUAAGAUGUUUUGCAGUUCAAUUUGAACUAUAAAAACGUCUUAUAAUAGUGUACAGAGGGAGUAUAUGUUAUAUUACCAGCAGGGUAAUGUUUUUUUUUGCUUCCCCUGUUUCGUCUUGUUGAGAUAAUUCACAACAAUACAAAUCAAUCCAUAUUAUACCGCUCAUGCUAGCUUAGCUUAGCUUAGCUUAGCUGCUUUCCCAAUAUAUAUUCUGGAUAUGUUAUCUGAUUCGCGCUGUUUUUUUUUGUUUGUGCAGGCCAUGAAAGCUGCUCCUUCCCCGCCAUGACCACCCUCUCCCUCUCAUGGAAGGUUUUUUGAUUUGAUCUCAAAUUGGCCAUUCUUAUGUGUUAGAGCAGCAGCAGUAGCAGCAGGGUUCCUUGGUGGAUACAGCAGCAGCAGCAGAAAGAGGACACCAUGGUGGGUACAGCAGCAGCAGCGGCGGCAGGGUUCCUUGGUGGAUACAGCAGCAGCAGCAGAAAUAGGACACCAUGGUGGGUACAGCAGCAGCAACAGGGCUGCAUCUUCAAGGUCAGCAGCAGCAGCGGCUCGAUGGACGGUGAUCCCUUCUCCACCUCUUGUUUCAUAUGCAAGCAGGCAAGAUUUCAUCCCUACAGCAGAGGACAAGGGCCUUACUUGAUCAUGCCUGCCAGUCAAGGUCGCAACCCACGGAGGGGGGACGCGCUGUUGUUCGGCAUUGGCUGCACAAACCGCCACGCAGGAAGGCACCCUCUAUGGACGGGGAUGACCACGAUGCAGGGGAGGAUGAGGACCGGUACAUUGAGCUCGACCACGACGGGGCACCGCACAAGGGCAUGAUGUAGUGCCCAGGAUGCUCUUCGGAUGGCUCCCAGGAUGGGAUUGAACCUAGUUGAGGUCCUUGGGAAAUCAGGCCCUCCUGUUUCCAAGAUCAUAGGCUUUCACAAAGACAAGUAUACCAAGGAUGCCAUGGAGAAAGGUCGCCUAAAAGAACAAGGUCAUAAUGUUGUACCGAGGGCAUAAAGUUGUAUCCAGGAUGGGCUUGCACCUGGUUGAGGACCAUCGGAAAUAGGACCAUCCUGCUUGCAAGAUCAUGGACUUCCACAAAGACAAGUAUAACAAGGAUGUCAAGGAGAAAGAGCACGUAAAAACCAAGAUUUGCUUAAGAUCACGGAAGCUUGGGUUGAUGGAGUGCUUGUAUUUAGUUUUUGUUUUCGACCUUGUGAAACUUGCUAUCUAUAGAUGAAACUGUGUAAUAUUGAUGAAACUAUGUAUAUGUACGGAUGAAACUUGCUACUAUUGGUAACAUGUGUUGGAUACAUAUGUGUUCAUGACUAUUGGUAAUAUGUGUUGAAUAUGCUAUAUUGGUCAUAUAAAUAUAUUUGUGUUUGAUUUCUGUGAAAAUGAAUUGAUAUAAGAAAAAACAAAAUUAAAU
rnacentral:rRNA from 1 species